CGAGCAUACCGAACGUAAGUGUGUCCGAACCCGGCAGCGCGUGAAAGAAUGGUUUCUUCUCAGUCGGAUCGCACUGCAAAGCCGCGACGUAAUUCAUCGGUACGCGCAGGUGGCCGCCUUCGUUGAAGCGCACUUUGCAAAUGCCUCGCUUGCCUUCCUUGAUUAAACAACGAUGCCCGCAGGCAAAGCAUUUCAAUGCGCGGUUUUCAAGGUGCUCCGUUAACUCCGGCGCACCCUCGGCGGUCAUCUCGUCCAGGACUUCAGCGAGUGAAUUUGAUGCAGCACUCAGUG
rnacentral:misc_RNA from 1 species